CUCGGCUCAGCAGCUGAAGACUGACACUGCUUGAUUGCCUGGGAAGCCUAUAGGACCAUCACAGACACUUUGGAUAACUCUUACAGUGAAGGACAAAAAAGCGCCACUGCAGGGAGGAAUGCCAGGGUCCCAUAGAGGGAGACCGACAGUGAAGUGGAGCCUGCCAUGAAUUCACCAAAGGCCAUUCUCCCUUUCUUCCAGAAGAACAGCAUUUAGCUGGGCCUAUGGCUACCUACCUAAAGACUGCACCUCUUAGUCACCCUUGUGGCCAGGUGUGGCCACGUGACAGUGGAAUGUAAGUGGAAGUGAUGUAUGCACUUGGGUUCAUUGGUUUAAAAAAAAAUAUGACCGCCCUCCAUUUCCACUCUUUGUCUUAUCUGUGAAUGGGAACAUGGCUGUGUCUGCAGCCCGACUUUGUGCAGCAAAGGACAAGGCCCUAGGGGAAGGUGGAGAAACAAGAUGGAACAACUUGGACCCAACAACUUGGAUCCCUAUGUGGCCAUGUGGAGUCAUCUCACCCACCUGGGCCACUCACCCCGAAGACUGUUGUGUGAGGGUGAAAUAAACUUCUGUAUCACUAGCCCCUGCAUUUCAGAAAUUCUUUGUUAUGGCAGUUUUGCCUUUAUCCUAACACAGACAGCAAAGUAUCUUCUGUGGCCCCAUGACUAAUUUCGUUGUUUAAACUCAUUAUAAAAACUAUAUAAAUAAAAUA
rnacentral:lncRNA from 1 species